rnacentral:rRNA from 1 species
CCUACGGGAGGCAGCAGUGGGGGAUAUUGCACAAUGGGGGAAACCCUGAUGCAGCGACGCCGCGUGGGUGAAGAAGCGCCUCGGCGCGUAAAGCCCUGUCAGCAGGGAAGAAAAUGACGGUACCUGAAGAAGAAGCACCGGCUAACUACGUGCCAGCAGCCGCGGUAAUACGUAGGGGGCAAGCGUUAUCCGGAUUUACUGGGUGUAAAGGGGGCGCAGACGGGGAUGCAAGCCAGGAGUGAAAGCCCGGGGCCCAACCCCCGGACUGCUCUUGGAACUGCGUGACUAGAGUGCAGGAGGGGCAGACGGAAUUCCUGGUGUAGCGGGGAAAUGCGUAGAUAUCAGGAGGAACACCGGUGGCGAAGGCGGCCUGCUGGACUGCAACUGACGUUGAGGCCCGAAGGCGUGGGGAGCAAACAGGAUUAGAUACCCCAGUAGUC